UACGUAGGGUGCAAGCGUUAAUCGGAAUUACUGGGCGUAAAGCGUGCGCAGGCGGUGAUGUAAGACAGAUGUGAAAUCCCCGGGCUUAACCUGGGAACUGCAUUUGUGACUGCAUUGCUGGAGUGCGGCAGAGGGGGAUGGAAUUCCGCGUGUAGCAGUGAAAUGCGUAGAUAUGCGGAGGAACACCGAUGGCGAAGGCAAUCCCCUGGGCCUGCACUGACGCUCAUGCACGAAAGCGUGGGGAGCAAACAGG
rnacentral:rRNA from 1 species